AAUAUACUUGGGUCUCCACCCUUUUCUGUGAUAUAAAUUUAUGGAAAAAGCUGCAAUACUUGCCUUACAGACCACCUCGUGUUCUGAUUUGGCUGCAUAUUUCUUCAGGGGCUUCCUCUCCCCUUGGAAGCAGGACAGCUUCUCUAUGGUAUUCGUGCCUUUUCCCCAUGCUUCCAGAGGUCUGUCCCGCCCUAGGAACUGGGUUUCACCAAAGCAUGGAUUACAAGAGCAGAAGACUAGAAAUGACCUCCAUGUCCAUCAAAAGGGGACCUGUUGAUUACGUAAGGAACACUAAGCAGCCUUUAAAAAGACUUCCGUAGAGUUAUAGGUGCUAAGAAGAUACGUCCUCCAAAAUAUACCGUGCGGUGAGGAAAGCAGAUUUAAAACUGCAUAGAAAGUAGGUCACCAAUGUUUAUUUAUAUGCGUGGAAUAUUAUUAUAAGAACACAUAAGAAACUAGGAAAUUGGAGGACUAAGGCACUAGUGUAAAAGAUUUGCUUUUUAUCAUGGGCUCUUUAUGCCUUUUGAAUGUGGAGCUAUGUGUAGAGAUUUUUCAAAAAAUUAAUGAAUUGCUUGGAAACCGGGAUGGGCUGAGAGGUUGUCAGUGACGCUGCAGAGCUGAGCUAGAAGUUUUCAGUUCUCAUCUGUGUUUAUCAAGCCCAGGAGAUGACAGACAGCAGUGGGGUUUUCAUACAAAACACUUUCAGCUUGCAUUUGCCCACUUUGAAGAGGGAAACCAAACAGACUUUUGGAACAGUUUUCAAGUAUCAAACGUGUUCUGUGUUUCAAGGGGUUUUAACUCACAAAUAGUCCUUUCUCUGCACUGACAUUCCCCACUCUGAGAAACUAAAACAAGUAGCUAGUAUCCAAAAAAAAGUAUAAAUUAUGAUUACUUCUGAUCAAACAUGUAAUGUCAAGUCUGCAAGAAAGAAAAAGAAACUUCCAAAACAGUGUUAGUGUUUCCAAAAAACAUGCCAUGUACUUAUACAUCGCAGGGCACCAGCUAAGGAAAUCUAUUAAUAGAACCAAGAAAACAAUAAUAGGGGGCCCCCAGGCCUGGGUCAUUUUUAAAGAUAUGAGAAUGAGCUCUUGGCUUUAUAAUUUUAGAGCUGUUAAAGCACCUGCCAGUGGGAAUUCUUGGAGAAGGCAAUGGCACCCCACUCCAGUGUUCUUGCCUGGAGAAUCCCAGGGAUGCGGGAGACUGGUGGGCUACCGUCUAUGGGGUCACACAGAGUUGGACACGACUGAAGUGACUUAGCAGCAGCAGCAGCGGGAAUUCUUAUUUGUGGGGAUUUUUUUUCCCAUUACACUGUGUGUGGAAAGACAUUUUCAAAGUAUAAAAACCAUUCAAAAAAAAAAAAAUCCCGAGUCCCAGCUAUGAAGCUUAAUAAAAUGGUCCAGAAAAACUUUACAAAUCUGAAAAUAGUUGAAAAUAGUCACUGUGUGCUUUUAUUAACCCUCAAGCACCCAUGCUGUGGGGAAGCUGACUGUAAAAGUAAUCAUCAUAAAAAGCAUUGUCAAUAAGCACAAGUCAUGUAAAGCAGAAAAAAACAACUGCUAUUGUAAAAUAGCACAGAUUUAACUUACCAGGGCCUGGAA
ensembl:lncRNA